rnacentral:rRNA from 1 species
GACGAACGCUGGCGGCGUGCUUAACACAUGCAAGUCGAGCGGUAAGGCCCUUUCGGGGGUACACGAGCGGCGAACGGGUGAGUAACACGUGGGUGACCUGCCUUUAGCUCUGGGAUAAGCCUGGGAAACUGGGUCUAAUACCGGAUAUGACCCUAUGGCGCAUGUUGUGGGGUGGAAAGCCUUGUGCGGCUAGGGAUGGGCCCGCGGCCUAUCAGCUUGUUGGUGGGGUGAUGGCCUACCAAGGCGACGACGGGUAGCCGGCCUGAGAGGGCGACCGGCCACACUGGGACUGAGACACGGCCCAGACUCCUACGGGAGGCAGCAGUGGGGAAUCUUGCGCAAUGGGCGAAAGCCUGACGCAGCGACGCCGCGUGAGGGAUGACGGCCUCGGU